AGCAGCCGCGGUAAUUCCAGCUCCAAUAGCGUAUAUUAAAGUUGUUGCAGUUAAAAAGCUCGUAGUUGAAUUUCGGGGUUAGUAGGUUGGUCAUGCCUCUGGUAUGUACUGGUCUCACUGAUUCCUCCUUCCUGAUGAGCCGUAAUGCCAUUAAUUUGGUGUUGCGGGGAAUUUGGACUGUUACUUUGAAAAAAUUUAGAGUGUUUAAAGCAAGCUAACGCUUGAAUACAUUAGCAUGGAAUAAUGAAAUAGGACGUUCGAUCCUAUUUUGUUGGUUUCUAGGGUUGACGUAAUGAUUAAUAGGGAUAGUUGGGGGCAUUAGUAUUCAAUUGUCAGAGGUGAAAUUCUUGGAUUUAUUGAAGACUAACUACUGCGAAAGCAUUUGCCAAGGAUGUUUUCAUUAAUCAAGAACGAAAGUUAGGGGAUCGAAGACGAUCAGAUACCGUCGUAGUCUUAACCAUAAACUAUGCCGACUAGGGAUCGGAUGAUGUUAAUUUUUUAAUGACUCAUUCGGCGCCUU
rnacentral:rRNA from 1 species